GCACUGCUGAGGAGUCCCAUACUAAGACGAAACGGCCGUCGAGUGC
rfam:Schistosoma curassoni strain Dakar, Senegal genome assembly, scaffold: SCTD_contig0000160